rnacentral:lncRNA from 1 species
AUGGCCCUUACCCUCAGGGAACCUACAGCCGCAUGUAGGCCCGGAAUCAUGGUCAUGAUCUUUGUAGCACGGGCAGCAGACUUGCUCCCAAAGGCCCGUACCCAAGACAGGACUGUGUUCCUUAGGGCCAGGUAUGUGUCUGAGGAGGUCUUUCCGAGCCAAAGAUGUCACACAUGCAGGCUGAUAGGCAUGGCAGAGUGCUUUCUUUCAUUCAGAGGGUGCAGAUUGUUAUGUAGGCAGCCCAAGAAGUGUUCUGUGUCUGAGCUCUCGCAUAGCUCGCCUUCUUUCCCCGAACACUGCCUCUGCUUCUUUUCCUUUCUGCCUCUUCCUUCCACUCUCUUUUGUUUUUAUUCUUUUUUUCUCCCCUCCACUGGGGCCUCCCCCAGACCCCCAAAUCGCUAUUUGCCCAACCUGUGACCUGAGACCACUUGGCAUUUCCCCAGGAUGGCUGGAAUUUACCGCCUGCCGAAGAAGCGUCUGUGACAUUUGCUCACCUGGGCGGCUUAAGCUACAGGGUCCGUGUGGAGGGACUGCUGAAAGGAAGUGUGAAAUUUACCUCUGUGCACCAAGGUUCUCGCCAGCAGGGAGACAAACAAGGAUGUUUUCAAGAAGCUGAGAUUAAUUUUUAUCAGGGUAUGCGUAUAUAGUCCUAUAUAUUCAUACACACAUUUAUUAUGUAUUCAAUAAAUGCGUGUAGACAAUUUGUACAUUAUCUGUUAUUCUCUAGUCAUUAUUUUAACAAAUUAAAUUUUCAUGGUUAGCUUCAUCUUUCACAUUCAUACCCUCCCCUUGCACAGCUCACUUCUUUCUUCCUCUCCCUCCCUGCUGGUAGAAGACACUGGGUUANNNNNNNNNNNNNNNNNNNNNNNNNNNNNNNNNNNNNNNNNNNNNNNNNNNNNNNNNNNNNNNNNNNNNNNNNNNNNNNNNNNNNNNNNNNNNNNNNNNCUUCUUUCUUCCUCUCCCUCCCUGCUGGUAGAAGACACUGGGUUAACUUAAUGCUCUUGGAGGCCUUGUGCCAUCAGCCCUCCUGUCUCCUUAAGGCUUAUGAGAUUCUGGUGAUGGCUUUCUCACUGUGGUGGUCGGCCCAACCAGGCCCAGUCGUUCUGCUGGUAAGGAAAUAGCUGCUUGUCUCUUUGGAUCAAACUGGUCUAGGAGCUUGUUCAAUCCAGUUACUGGGAUAGGCCAGCCCUGGAGGCUUCGCUGGCUCUUAGAACAUACGGACACACAGUCUAUCUGUCCUGGCUGUCAGCCGAGGAAGGGAGGCAGGCAGUGUAGAUGGUUAAGCUGUUACUUUAUACCCAUGUUUACCCUGUCCAAGUGAUUUGAAGGGGAAGAGUGCCCCGGGCCCCAGGCUGGGGGAAGAGUGCUGGUGGGUCAUUUUAGCAUGAAGCUGAAUGGAAAAUGUCAGCAGAAGUGAUGCCCCAUUUUCCCUUUGGAACACGGAAUUCUGUAAUAAUAGUUAAUGCAUGGAACACUUAAAAUAUGUGGAGCUCCUAUUGCCCCAACUUUUAAGGUGAAGAAACUAAAAGAAAGUUUCAUAAACUUUCCGAAAGUCACACAGCUCAGGAGAGGAUCUGUUGAGACAAGUUUGACUUAGGAAGUUUUACUAAAAGUAAAUGUAUUCAUUCCCAUUAAGUGACAGCCCUUCAGCUUGUGAUUCUUCCCAGAAAAUCCAUGGAAUCCUACUCAGUUGUCCAAAUAACAGAUCAUUUGGCUCUGCCUACUUCUGGUCCUGUUGCUCAGGUACAUGAACUUCGUUAUCUCUUGGCUAAGGUUGGCUGUAAAGCAUAAAUAAAAGGAGAUAAGUCCAAAAUUUUCCUUGGGCCUGUUUCCUGAUUUUUGUUAGGCUCCUGCCUUUGCUUUUUAGAAUCUACCUGACUUCCUUCAGGCAAUGAACAUGACUUAUCUUCAUCAGUUCAGUUCAGUUGCUUAUUCGAGUCCGACUCUUUGCGACCCCAUGGUUUGCAGCACGCCAGGCCUCCCUGUCCAUCACCAGCUCCUGGAGUUCACCC